CCCUCCCCCCACAGAGACGUUCCCCAUCUCCCUCCCUGCCACCCAGCAAUCCCCAACGCGACUGGCAGGGGCCACUGAGACGGACCUGACACACACCAGCCGCGGCGCCACCGAGAGAAGCCCCUCCACCACGGCGUCCAGACAGCUGACUGCAGUGUAGAGGGAUCAGAUAGCAGGGCUGGGUGUCGCGACUCCACGAGAGCCGUAAACUUGUGUCCCCGGCCCUCGGUGCCCCAACUUGGGCAUCGCGAUCCCGUCCUCCCCAUCGUGACAUCCGGUUCAGGCUUUCGCGAUAGCCGGCCUCGGAGUUUCAAAGUCGGCGCGGGGCAGGGGCGUGGCCAACAGCGAAGGCCUGCCUGGCUGUCGCGAGAGGUGGGCACCCAAUCAGCAGCCUGGACGCCCGCCCCCAAUAGCCAGCCUCGUCGCCGCUCUUAGUUAAUACUUUUUCCACCGCUCCGCGUUUCGCGACCUCGAGUCCUGGUCUUGCCACAGCGACAAUCAAUGCAGGGGAAUCCCCUCGGUUUCCAAACGGAAGACCCCCGGGCCACGACCCACCAAAGAGGGCUGCGAGUGGAGAAGGAGUGUCAGUGACUGGCCAUGGCCCAGUACGGGAAGUGCAUGCUCCAUCCCAGUGACGUCACGGGAAAUACCCUGGAGAUCCCACAGGAAGUACUUGGCCCCAUGAUAUCCCUGAAGUAGCCUCCAAGGAAGGCUCACUGAGACAUCAUAGGAAGUACCUGUCUCUUGUGUCAUCACAGGAAGUGACCUCUGGGGAACUGCUUCCCGUGACAUCAUAAGGAGUGCCAGAAGCACCCCAGAAAGUACUUGACUCAGUGACAUCCCAACAGAGACCUUCAUUCCCAUUACUCUAAGUCAAACCACCGAAGACGCCACCGGAAGUUGUUCCAGCCCGUCGCAAGAGUCAUGCCCACAGGACUGGACCAAUCCCAGAGCCGGCCUCAUUCCCAGCAGGCACUGCACACCGCUCCCCCACCCCCUUCCCCCACCAUAACAACCUGACAACAGAACAGUGAACAGUCCCACCUAGAAGGGGCAAUUCCAAGAGGGGUAGAGCCGCUGAGAAGAUCUGGGAACUCUGGGGUCCCUGCUCCAAAUACCCCAUUUCAGCUCAGAUUCCUCGGCUACCUCUACUCCCAUCCCUUCCUUCAGAUCUGGAACCGAAAGCAGGAGAGGUGGGGUGUUGUUUUGGGGAGGCCCCUCAUUCUAGGUGGCCCAGAGGCUCCCUCCCCUCCUCCCAUAUGGAAACAAAAACUUCUAAGGGGGGGCGGGGGCGGAAAUCCUUACCAAAACACCAAACCAAAACAAACCAAAACAAACAAACAAAAAAAACAAAACAAAAAAGAAGAAGUAGAAGAAAAGGAAAAUAAAAAGAAAAAAAAAAAAGGA